AUAUGGAUUACCUUGGGAGCUUGUUAAAAUGCAGAUUCUGAUUCAGGAAGUCUGAGAUUCUGCAUUUCUAUCAAGUUCUCAGGUGAUGCUGAU
rnacentral:pre_miRNA from 8 species